AACAAAAACAAACCAGACCAAAAGUAUCGAGGAAUUUUGAUUUUUGAUUUUUAACUUUUCCACUCUCUCGAAUCCUUGAGUCCGUGUGAUGAUUCAUUCAAAAUGACGACAUACCAUAUCUAUUUGUGUUUCCAUGCCAACCCUCCAACAAAAACCUGGUAAUCACCGAAAGGGGAAUUCAAGAACUGAAACCCAGAACGUGAAAUUUGAUUAGAUCACCCAUGAGAUUUUGAACAAUUAGAGUAGCUAAUUCCAGAAUAACUACUUCCACUGAAAAAAAGACUUGGAUCAAGUUCGUUGUUCUGCAGAGGAAGAAAAACAAGAAUGGACAAAUAAGGAGGACAAGGAGGAAGAAUCUGUGAUAUUAGGUAGGGGGAUGAGUUGAAAGGUAAUGAAUUUUCCUUGAAAAUGUUCUUCAAAGGUGUAUCUAUCCUUUAAGGCAUGUGAUUUAGGGUCUGGGUUUUCAGGGAAAACUUGAUUUUUCUGUAGAGGAAUCAGUUGCUCAAUAUUUCCUUUGAUGGAUGGUAUGGUGGAUGCAUUGGACAACAAGAUUCGUCUUGCUGUUGCUUUUAUAGCUUCUAAGAUUGUUUAUGAUCAAUUGCAGUUGUUUUAAUGGUGAAACUAUUCUGGCGAGUUCUGGAUCUAUAGAUCAAUUAAUUCACCUUUGUACUUCCCGUGAGGAUAAUUAUUAUGAUGAACGAUGCCAUGAUGCCAUGUGAUGGGGGUGGGACUUCCGGCGGUUGCAUGAAAUGUAUGGCAGGCGCAUCGCGCAUGCAUGCUAUACUAGUCCCUAUAAAUGGAGGUUGUAAUAUUUGUUUAUUCUGCACAUUGAAUAAAAAUUCUUCCUCUCUUUCCCUACUUUUCUAUCUUUCACACUAGUUGUUGGAUUAAUUGUUUUAAC